rnacentral:rRNA from 1 species
GAUGAACGCUGGCGGCGUGCCUAAUACAUGCAAGUCGAGCGAAUGACGAGGAGCUUGCUCCUCUGAUUUAGCGGCGGACGGGUGAGUAACACGUGGGUAACCUGCCUGUAAGACGGGGAUAACUCCGGGAAACCGGAGCUAAUACCGGAUGAUAACGAGAAGCGCCUGCUUCUUUUUUGAAAGUCGGUUUCGGCUGACGCUUACAGACGGGCCCGCGGCGCAUUAGCUAGUUGGUGAGGUAACGGCUAACCAAGGCGACGAUGCGUAGCCGACCUGAGGGGGUGAUCGGCCACACUGGGACUGAGACACGGCCCAGACUCCUACGGGAGGCAGCAGUAGGGAAUCUUCGGCAAUGGACGAAAGUCUGACCGAGCAACGCCGCGUGAGCGAUGAAGGCCUUCGGGUCGUAAAGCUCUGUUGUCAGAGAAGAACAAGUAUCGGAGUAACUGCCGGUACCUUGACGGUACCUGACCAGAAAGCCACGGCUAACUACGUGCCAGCCGCCGCGGUAACAC